rnacentral:rRNA from 1 species
GUGGGGAAUAUUGGACAAUGGGCGCAAGCCUGAUCCAGCCAUGCCGCGUGAGUGAUGAAGGCCUUAGGGUUGUAAAGCUCUUUCAGUGGGGACGAUAAUGACGGUACCCACAGAAGAAGCCCCGGCUAACUUCGUGCCAGCAGCCGCGGUAAUACGAAGGGGGCUAGCGUUGUUCGGAUUUACUGGGCGUAAAGCGCACGUAGGCGGAUCGUUAAGUCGGGGGUGAAAUCCUGGAGCUCAACUCCAGAACUGCCUUCGAUACUGGCGAUCUUGAGUCCGGAAGAGGUGAGUGGAACUCCUAGUGUAGAGGUGGAAUUCGUAGAUAUUCGGAGGAACACCAGUGGCGAAGGCGGCUCACUGGCUCGAUACUGACGCUGAGGUGCGAAAGCGUGGGGAGCAAACAGGAUUAGAAACCCGAGUAGUCC